AUGGUCACCACACUGCAAGCAGGUGCAGCAGGGGAUCUGAGCACAGCUGUGGCAGUGGUCCUGUGCAUAAUUGGACUGACUGAUGCAGCAGUGUGGGCUAUGUGCAGUGUGGAUCCUGUGUGCAGCUGGUCUGGUUGGCACUGCAGCACCAGUGUAGAUGGCUACCAGCAGCAGCAACAGCUAGAGCCACACUACAGAUGGCAGCAACUUGAGAUCUCAUUGCUUCACUCCUAUGACUCUGUGGAUAAGAUUGUCAUUCAGAAAUACCAUACUGUGAAUGGCCACAACUGUGAAUUAAGGAAAGCCCUGUCAAAGCAAGAAAUGGCUAGUGCUUCAUCCAGCCAAAGAGGUCGAAGUGGUUCUGGAAACUUUGGUGGUGGUCGUAGAGGUGGUUUUGGUGGGAAUGACAACUUCGGUCGUGGAGGAAACUUCAGUGGUCGUGGUGGCUUUGGUGGCAGCCGUGGUGGUGGUGGAUAUGGUGGCAGUGGGGAUGGCUAUAAUGGAUUUGGUAAUGAUGGUGGUUAUGGAGGAGGCGGCCCUGGUUACUCUGGAGGAAGCAGAGGCUAUGGAAGUGGUGGACAGGGUUAUGGAAACCAGGGCAGUGGCUAUGAUGGGAGUGGCAGCUAUGACAGCUAUAACAACAGAGGAGGCGGAGGCAGCUUUGGCGGUGGUAGUGGGAGCAAUUUUGGAGGUGGUGGAAGCUACAAUGAUUUUGGCAGUUACAACAAUCAGUCUUCAAAUUUUGGACCCAUGAAGGGAGGAAAUUUUGGAGGCAGAAGCUCUGGCCCUUAUGGUGGUGGAGGCCAAUACUUUGAUGAAUCACGAAACCAAGGUGGCUGUGGUGGUUCCAGCAGCAGCAGUAGCUAUGGCAGUGGCAGGAGGUUCUAACUAACUUCCAGGAAACAAAGCUUAGCAGGAGAGGAGAGCCAGAGAAGUGACAGGGAAGCUACAGGUUACAACAGAUUUGUGAACUCAGCCAAGCACAGUGGUGGCAGAGCCUAGCUGCUACAAAGAAGACAUGUUUUAGACAAUACUCGGGUGUAUGGGCAAAAAAACUGAGGACUGUAUUUGUGACUAAUUGUAUAACAGGUUAUUUUAGUUUCUGUUCUGUGGAAAGUGUAAAGCAUUCCAACAAAGGUUUUUAAUGUAGACUUUUUUUUUUUUUUUUGCACCCAUGCUGCUGAUUGCUAAAUGUAAUAGUCUGAUCAUGAUGCUGAAUAAAUGUGUCUUUUUUUUAAAAAAAAAAAAAAAAAAAA